GGUUCGGGUCGGAUCCAGUUGGG
rnacentral:siRNA from 1 species